UGGCUUUAGGGAAGGAAAAGUGUCCGGACGUUGAAGACCCAGCGUCCAAGCACCGCCAUUCACACUUCCACCCCCAACCGCGCUGGGUUAAUUUUUCAUCUUUCAAGCAGAGCCUGUUAAGUUUGGUGUGCAUUUCCCCUUCUUUCUCUAGGAUUCGUUCCUGUUUCCUGAAGAGCCUGCGGCAGGACUUUCCUGUUGUGAUGUCGGGGGAUAUCUAGACUAGCAUUUGCAGGUCCUUCAAGAUGAUAAGGUCGGGAGAGAGAGCUCGACGACAGAGGGCUUGCAUCACACAUGGGAACAAGGGAAGGAUCAAUUGCAAGUAGUUCCAAGUAACGCAAGAAAUAAAAGGUCCAACUCCUCAUUUAGCCAGGCAUGGAAGAUUGCCACUAGUUUGAGGCCAGUCUGGGUUACAGAGUGAGACCUUGUCUCAAAAACAAACAAGAAACAUGAACCCAGACGGGCAGGAACUAUGGACUUGUGGAAGGAGCCCUGGUCAAGCAGUCAGCAGCUCCACACGGUUCAGUGCCAUCAGAAGUGCCAUAAAGAUCUGCAAAGACGAGAUGCCCCCAUGUUCUCGUUUUCAUCAGCUUGGAGAAGGACUCAAGUGAUAGUGACCCUCAGCUUUGAAGGACUUGAAGGAGUUAGGCAGGAAGAGAAAAGGAGGAAAGACAUGCCACCCCCCACCCCCCAGACAGCCCUGAACACAAAAGCUGCCCUGCUGCACUCAGAGAACUGAAAACAGUUGAACCCAGCAGGAGCGCUUGGUGUGGGAGCCUGUGUCCACAGAAGAGAGUGUGGGUUUGGACUCUGACCUGCCUCGUGAGUCACGAUUUUACCAACAACCAUAAAGCACCCACAAGUUAGCGGUCGAAGAUGUUCACAGCCAUCCACAUUUGCAAAGUGACUAAUACCACAUGUCUCACCCUCUGCACCUCUCUCACCCCAGCCCGGCUGGUUCAUGUCUCGCCCACACUGGGCUGAUGAAGGACUUGUAAAAGUUUAACUCAAUAGGGUUGCACAACUUUGAAAGUUUGAAUCGCUGCUCAGGCUAAUGAAUGAGAUUCUUCCAUCACCUCAUGAAGAUGUUCUCCGUGGGAGGAAGAGUGGAACAAGCUGUCACAAACAUGAAUGUCCUCACCGGGCUCAGGAUUUCUCAUUGUCCUGAAGACAAGGCCUCAGUUUCUCAGAAGAGAUUAGCAGUGACCUGCUCAAGAUGGCUGCACACAGACAAGAGCCGAUAGCAGAUCAGCUCUGCAGGGCCCAAGCAGAAGCUCCGGAAACCAUGCACUUUUGUUUAAGACCCUGUGAGUGCUAGAGCCACCCAAAAUGAGCAUUUAUUCCCUCUUGCUGAACUUCAUAGCUAAUGAUAUCCCUGGCUCGUCUUAAAGUCAGCCUCAGAAACCCACCGUGUUAGCAUCACAGAAGUCCUGUCUCCCUUGAGACCUCCUGACAUGCUUCCUUCUGUUGGAACGUCUUCCCUCUUUUCAUCAUGGUAACUUACGCAUUCCGGUCUGGACGCUUCAAACCCAGCCUCCCCUACCUUCUUGCAUUGGCUUAGGUUAGGUUUAAAAAACAGGGUGUGCUUUUUCGAGCGGAGCUCCUUUUCUGGAGUCUUAGUGUAGCCUCUUAUUGUCUGCCCUUGAGAGCAGGGGUUGUAUUGAGUUACUUUGUAAACUCUUUGUCUAGAUAUUUAAUAGGUAACCCGGUGAUCAAAGAACCAAAGGAGUAAAUGGAUGGACAAAUAGAUACGUUAAGAAAUAAAGCCUGUGUUUCUGAGUGCCUACUG